rnacentral:rRNA from 1 species
AUUGAACGCUGGCGGCAGGCCUAACACAUGCAAGUCGAGCGGAUGAAGGGAGCUUGCUCCUGGAUUCAGCGGCGGACGGGUGAGUAAUGCCUAGGAAUCUGCCUGGUAGUGGGGGAUAACGUCCGGAAACGGGCGCUAAUACCGCAUACGUCCUGAGGGAGAAAGUGGGGGAUCUUCGGACCUCACGCUAUCAGAUGAGCCUAGGUCGGAUUAGCUAGUUGGUGGGGUAAAGGCCUACCAAGGCGACGAUCCGUAACCGGUCUGAGAGGAUGAUCAGUCACACUGGAACUGAGACACGGUCCAGACUCCUACGGGAGGCAGCAGUGGGGAAUAUUGGACAAUGGGCGAAAGCCUGAUCCAGCCAUGCCGCGUGUGUGAAGAAGGUCUUCGGAUUGUAAAGCACUUUAAGUUGGGAGGAAGAGCAGUAAGUUAAUACCUUGCUGUUUUGACGUUACCAACAGAAUAAGCACCGGCUAACUUCGUG